rnacentral:sRNA from 1 species
AACCAAGGUUCGACUUGAGCGCCAGCGAGAGAGCGUUGCCGCAGGCAACGACCCGAAGGGCGAAGCGCGCAGCGCUGAGUAAUCCUUCUCCCACCACCA